rnacentral:lncRNA from 1 species
UCAUGAAGAGAUCUGAACCCUAUACCCCCUUCCUCAUGCGGCAUGCAUAGGUUAGACCAUGAGGACCAAUGUCUUGAAUUUCCUCCCACGUUGCUGCUCCAGAAAAAUUUGGCAAAAAUGCUAUGCAAUUUGUUAAUCACAUAGCUUGUUGGAUUAACUGCAGAUAACAUAUGUAUUGGGAUACUCUGCAGGACAUUUGAAAUCAAGACUGCCCUACCUCCGACUGACAGUAAUUUGCCUUUCCAUGUCUGCAGUUUGUCCAUAACCUUUGUAAUUAAACCCUGAUAGUAAUCAUUCCUUCUUCUGGCAUAAAAGAUAGGACAUCCCAGGUAUGUCAUAGGGAAAAAUUGUUUUCCUAUACCAGUAAUUCUCUCCACCUUGUUAAUUACCUCAUUGUUGGUUGAAUGAUGCAUAUAAAUAGCUGAUUUGCCUUUGUUUACCAUUUGACCAGAUGCUGAUUCAUAAGCAUUCAGAACAUCCAUCACAAGUCUGAGGGAAUUUGUAUCAGCUGAGCAGAAAAUGAUAGUAUCAUCUGCAUAUGCAAGAUGGUUUAUUUUUGGGCUCCAUUUUGGUAAUCGAAAACCAUUGAAAUCAAUGCUGAUUCAUAAGCAUGCAGAACAUCCAUCAUAAGUCUGAGGGAAUUUGUAUCAGCUGAGCAGAAAAUGAUAGUAUCAUCUGCAUAUGCAAGAUGGUUUAUUUUUGGGCUCCAUUUUGGUAAACGAAAUACAUGGAAAUCCAUGUUAGUAUGCAAUGCAUUCAAACCUCUAGAUAAUGCUUCUGCUGCUAGAAUGAAUAAUGUUGGAGAUAGCGGGUCUCCCUGCUUAACUCCCC